GACGAACGCUGGCGGCGUGCUUAACACAUGCAAGUCGAACGGAAAGGCCCUGCUUUUGUGGGGUGCUCGAGUGGCGAACGGGUGAGUAACACGUGAGUAACCUGCCCUUGACUUUGGGAUAACUUCAGGAAACUGGGGCUAAUACCGGAUAGGAGCUCCUGCUGCAUGGUGGGGGUUGGAAAGUUUCGGCGGUUGGGGAUGGACUCGCGGCUUAUCAGCUUGUUGGUGGGGUAGUGGCUUACCAAGGCUUUGACGGGUAGCCGGCCUGAGAGGGUGACCGGCCAAAUUGGGAGUGAGAUACGGCCCAGACUCCUCGGGGAGGCAGCAGUGGGGAAUAUUGCACAAGGGGCGGAAGCCUGAUGCAGCAACGCCGCGGGGGGGAUGACGGCCUUCGGGUUGUAAACCGCUUUCGCCUGUGACGAAGCGUGAGGGACGGUAAGGGGUAAAGAAGCACCGGCUAACUACGUG
rnacentral:rRNA from 1 species